CCGCGUUAUCUCCGCUGCGUCGCGGUCAUCACUCGGACUUUCUGUCGCGAAACAGUCGCUCAUAAAAUGCAAAUGCUCAUUCGAGUCGGUUAACGAUGAAUUAUGUCAUCAUGAAUCAAUAGCCAAGGAUUGCCGCAUAGAUCAUUGAUCCCCGAUUUAUGUCUCAUUAUGGAAAUGUAGGCUUAUGUAAAUCAAAUUAACACGUUGCAAAAACCAACGUUAUUUCUUGUGCGGAACAAAUUGAUAUUCGUCUUGAGUGUAUGCAAACAAAUUUGUUAAUCAAUUCUCAUUAAUAAGGUUUUUUAUUGAUACGUUUCCUUUCUUCCGUAGCUUCUGUGAUAUUUUAACGGAGCUAAAGAAACUUAUUAGUUAGUUAUUAGACUUAAUUAGUUGAUCUAUUAUAGUUUGUUUUCAAAAAAUAUAUAAGCGAUGUUAUAGGAAUAAUAUUAGGGAUAACAUUAUUAAAUAACGAACAUUAGUUUUAAUCACAGAUGUAUUAUACAUGUUGUUUAUAUUUGUGUCACAAUCCUCGCAGAAAUAGUCACGCUAGAAUUUCGUUUACAAGACCUUGGACCUUGUGUUGCGUCACGAAACAAUGCCUACCGAAAUAUUAUCAAACCUGAUGUGCUGUACAUCCGGGAGGAAAGUGGGCGUGAAUAAAAUAAUAGAUCCGUGUACAAUAACAAGUGCAGUCGUGCAAAUUGCAAGCGAUAAGAUCUGACGGUUCAGUUUAGUCGCAAAAGGAAGAAUAUGUAAAUCGUC